rnacentral:rRNA from 1 species
UACGUAGGGUGCGAGCGUUGUCCGGAAUUAUUGGGCGUAAAGGGCUCGUAGGCGAUUUGUCGCGUCGGGAGUGAAAACACCGGGCUUAACUCGGUGCUUGCUUUCGAUACGGGCAGACUAGAGGUAUGCAGGGGAGAACGGAAUUCCUGGUGUAGCGGUGAAAUGCGCAGAUAUCAGGAGGAACACCGGUGGCGAAGGCGGUUCUCUGGGCAUUACCUGACGCUGAGGAGCGAAAGUGUGGGGAGCGAACAGG